rnacentral:lncRNA from 1 species
CUGUGUGAAAAGUUGUACAACAUGAAGUCUCUUGUGCUCUUGAUAAAGGCAACAAGCGAGGACCUUUCCAAUGCAUGCAAGGAUGGAAAGAUGAGCUGUUGCAGAAGCACCUAAUUAAGGGGGUGCGACCGCCGAUAAAAGGCGAAAACACCAAAGAGAGUUGGUGUGGGUGGAGCUAUCAAGCAGAAAGGCAUAGAAGCUCCAAACAUAGAAAAUGAGAUGGAGGAUUGCGAAGAGUGCACCGCAACUCUCUCUUUCUAUGUGAUCAGUGGCAGUGAUCUCUUCCAAGUCCACAUGGUGGUAGAGAAUCUUGGAGUCACUGGAGACAUCCCCGAUGAAGGAGGAUGUGACCGCUUCAUGACAGGCAGAGACACCUCGGAUGGAAGGUGUAAGGACCAUGAUAUGAGUCCAAGUUCAGACCGUCUCAUGACGACAGGCGGAGACACCUCAGGAGAAGGUGUGAGGACCAUGAUAUGAGUCCAAGUUCAGACCGUCUCAUGACGACAGGCGGAGACACCUCAGGAGAAGGUGUGAGGACCAUGAUAUGAGUCCAAGUUCAGAC